rnacentral:tRNA from 1 species
AAAAUCCGUUGACUUUUAAAAUCGUGAGGGUUCAAGUCCCUCUAUCCCCAACUCUACUCCCCCAA